AUGGAGCGGAGGAUGGAGCUCUGUCAGUGUGUAGCAUGCGGUGGCCGGCGGUGUGUGUUGGAGCCCGGGACCCACAGGGGCUGACCUGGAGGGGCGCCAGAGACGGGGCUGAGGAGCCACCAGGCAGGGGUGCACUGGGGCUUCCUGGGGGGCCGCUCAGACCAUGUCGAUGCUCCUUCCUGCAAGGAACCUGCUAACCCCUGUGUCUCCCAUGCCACCCUGCCAGGGCUGCUGGAGGCUGGCUCACCCUGGACCAGGGGUCACAGGUCAGCCUGACCCAGCUGUGCUCUGAGCUGCGGGGGGUGCAGACUCGGCCAGCUGUGCAGGAAGCCAGCGGGUGGCUUCUGGCAGAGCUGAGCAGGGCCUCACCCCUAUACAUCCCCAAUGUGCUCAGAGAUAGUGACAGCAGUGGUUCGCAUCGUUGUAUCCGUGUCAAACCUGCAGGAAUGUUCCCUGCUCUUUUCACGACGGCUCAAAUCUGGAAGCCCCCGAGAUGCUCUGGGAUGAGCAGGCACGGGGUCCCCCACAGAAUCCAGUUCAGGGACACCUAGGAAGGCCUGUGGAUGUGCUCAGUGCCACAGAGGCACCGGCUGUGUUUGCUGAGGGCAUGCAGCCAGAUGGGGGCUGCUGGUGUUCCCAGGACAUGGGGAACAAGCCAGAGCAGGGGGAGGAUAAGUGUCAGGAGCUGCCGGGAGCAGGCAGGGGAUGCACCUGGCUCCCAGGGGGACAUUCAGGGUCAGGGGCUGCUCCAGGGCUGGAGGAGGCGCUGGCAGCUCUGGGAGAGGCCAGGAGCUGCACACCCCACAGUGGGAGCUCCCACACGGAGGCACACGGAAAACCCCAGAAUGCAGAGAAACCCCCAGCAUGCUGUAUGUGUGAGGUCGCUGCCUGUCACCAUGUGCAGACCUGACCCCAGAGAAUUGGCCCCCACUGAGGUGCCCCAAAGACCGCUGGCCUUGCUGGGCAGGGGGCUAGACUGAGCAGAGCACCCUGCUGUCCCCCGUCCUGGGCAGCAAGCCCUGUUCCACGUGCUGUCUGCCUAUUCCAUGUACAACACCGUGAGUGUCCCUGCCCCCAGACCUCCUACCCCACGGGUGUCCCUUGUCCUGAGUCUUGGUGACCAACAAGACUCAUAGUUAGGACCCCAGCUCCCACUGUCCUAAGAUGCAAGGGAGGGUCUCUCUCCUCCAAGACCCAGGCAGGGGGCUGGGGUGCAGACCUCCCUGUGGGAGGGAGGGCGCCUGAGUGCCCAAGUGCUGGGGCUGUCCAGGGCUCUCGGGUGCACUGCUGCUGUCCUAAAACUCGGGUCUGGACCAUGAAGGGACAGCACUACUAAUCAGAACCCGGCGAAGAGGAAGGCUCCCAUCCCCUGAAGGGCAUGAGGCUGUGGUUGACCAGAAGGCUGCUCCAUGGUGCACUCCAGAAGGGUCUCCUGAGGAACCCCAGCUCAGAUGCUCCACGGCUCUGUGGUGGUAUCAUGGUCCUGCUUCCCUCGUGGGACCUCCCAGGGGCCACAGUCAGGCCCCCGACCUGCCCUCAUGGUGGGGUCUCCAGACCUGGUGGGUCCCCUGCAGCCUGGCAUGCGUCACGGAGGCCCCUCCUAGUCUGAGGAAGGGGACCCUGGUGCAGUAUCUGCAGGGCUCGGUAGUGGGGCCAUGUGGUGCUGCCACCUGCUCUCCUGCCCUCUGGGAGCCUCCUCUGGGAGCCUGGGCUGUGAGGGAGCCGUGGGAGCCUGACGCCUGCGCAGGGAGGGCUCAGAGGGGGCCUUGGGGGUGGACACCCUCCAUGGGGCUCUGGCUCUUGCAGGACGUGGGCUACUGCCAUGGCAUGAGCCAGAUUGUGGCCAUCCUGCUGAUGUUCCUGACUGAGGAGGAUGCUUCUGGGCGUAGGCCCAGCUGAUGACCGAUGAGAGGCACACCAUGCACGGUAGGGGCUGGACAGGCCACUGGAUGGGAUUGGAGCUCAGGAGAGCCUCCCUGCAGGGCUGCUCCAGCCGUGGGGCAGGCGGGGACCCCCACCCAGCCCACCUCACCACUGGCAAGGGCACUGCCUCCCCAGGUGCCCCUCGGGGUCCUAGAGCCACGGCCACCGGCCCCACCAUCUGCAGACCAGUCUUGCAUUCCCACUGCUCUCUGAGCCUCCUAUCUGGCUGCCUGCUCGCCCCCCAGGCCCCCCUGCCAGCCCACAGCCAGACGAAGCCCAGGGGGCAACAUCUCCCCCCUCCUGGGUGCCCCCAGCCUGACUCCCAAGCCCCAGAGAGGACCAUGCACACACAUCACCCUCCCUGUGGCCUGAACCCGCUGCCCCUCGGGGCUGGGGACCCGCCUGCCCCUGCGGGAGCCACUGCAGGAAAGAGGGUGCUAGGUCAGACGGGCCUGGUCCUCAGCCCAGGGCACCCAGCACCCACUUCACAGGGUCUCUGUGAGGAUGAGGGUGCCCGGGCCCUGCUACCCCCAGCCUGGAAGACAGUCCUGCUCUCUAGAAAGAGCGGGUCCAGUCAGGGCUCAGAGGGCUGUGGGCACACAGGGGUCAGGGUGGGGGGGAGGAGGCCUCUGCCAGGAAACAGGAAACCCCCUCCCACCCCCGCCUGGUGCAGAAGGAAGCCCUGAUCCCUGGUGCAGGAGGAGGCCUGGGGCCUUCUCAGGCUUCUUCAUUCCAGGGUUCCCCAAACUGCUGAGGUCCCAGGCCCAUCACGAGCACGUUCUAGACAGCUUUCCCCAAGCUGAAGAAGCACAUGGACGAGGGUGUGCACUGGCAUUUACACCCCCAAGUGGUUCCUUCAGUGUUUCAUCGACCUGGUGGGCUCAGGAUCCCGUUUCCUCCUGAUUCAGCCUGCUGCAGCCACCCACAGUAGAGAGUGUCCCCUGGGCCUUCCUCCUCAUCAUUUGAUGUCUCCUCUUCUGCUCCAGCUUCAGGAAACCAGGCCAGGGCUGGGCAUGCGGGCACUCACUGCAGGGGCUGGGCACCAGCAGUGUGGAAGGCUGUGGAUAGGGUCAGGCCAGGGGGGCCACAUGGGAGGCAUGAGGACCCCUGGGGCGCCCCAGCUGGAGACACACAGUCUGCUGGAGAUGCUAACCCAGUUUGCCUCUUUCCAGCGGGAACUGACAAGUUCCCCAAGAGGCCCCUGGGCCUGGAGCGAGUGUCUCCAGCGCCCGGGCCUCUCCUCCUUUUUCCUACUGUUGAGACGCUCCCCAGAGUGGAUGAGCUGGUCUCCCCAGACUCAGCCACCCAGUCUGAGCCACCUGGACCCCCUCCCGGCCAUGCCAUCCUCAAGGCCGAGGAGCCGCUGCAGGAGGGAAGCUUCCCAGAGCCCAAGGCUGCACACCUGUGUCCGGGAACACUGGGGGCUCUGGUUCUGGCCCGGCUGCCCCCAGCCCAGGACUCCUCGCUGGCCUGCGGCUACUCCCCCAGCGAUGGAACUCCCUCCUCAUCCUGCCAGUGAACCAGGAGGGUGCAGGCAGGUGGCCCCUGGACAUGGGCUUGAAGACAGAACACUGGGUCUCCUUCCCUUCGGCACCUGCCUGGGCCACCCCAGAGGCCACAUGACAAACCAGGCCCUGGAACCCCCCUGGGACUCCCAUCAUGGGGUCCACCUAGCCCACUAAAGAUGACACUGUAGGGCCCAGGACACCCUUCCUGCCCUGUGACCACUGCAGCUCAAGCCCCUCUCUGGGCAGUGACUGGCACAGCCAGGGCAGAGCCAGGGCAGCACUGAGUCCACUGCCCCAAGGCCCCGCUGCUCCAAGGCCCCCCACAGGCCUGGGGCCCUCUGACCUCUGCAUCCACAGGGAAGCUCGAUGCUUGUGGGCCUCUGGAGCAGAGCAUGAUGGUGAGUGUGGGGGCCCUGAGGCCCUGGCCAGCUGGCACCAUGCCCUGCCUCAUCUCACUGUCCUUUCUGGAGGGCGGCACCCCCACCCCACAGGACACAAGCCCCUGACCCAGAGGACCUGGGCCGGCCUCUCCCCGGGCACUGUCGGGGCAGGGUCGACAUGAGCUCCCCCAAAGCCAGGAUGAAGACUGAUGGGUUCCAGCCUCCCAUGGCCCUGGCCAGUCCUGGAUUCUGCCCCAAGGCUGAGCGACCCCUCUCAGAGCAGUAUGGCCUCCUGGGACCUGGGCAUGCCCCACAAAUCCAGGUCGCUGACCUAGGGCAGCACUGGAAAUAACAGGAAACCCCAGGGCAGGGCCAGCAGGGACAGGCUGGUGGGCCCUACCCUCACCCACCCUAGGAGGCAGGCUCCUCCACAUGCUGGGUCUCCAGCAGUCAGUAACCUGGCAUCAGGGGGCCAGAGGCCAGGGUCCAGCUGACCUGCUGGGACCCAGCGCAGGAACCCAUAAGCUGCAGGCCCAGGUCAGGUCUGCUGUCCUCAGAACUGCCUCUCAGGCCCCAACGUCAGGAAAUGUGCCCCCACCCAGAGUCUGCACAGGCUCCCAGGUGGGGACUCUAGCACCCAUACCCCCGUGUGAUUUCUGCUUUCCCCUAAAGGACAGGAAGGUCUCCCUUCCCAGGGGAAGGCUCGCACCCUUGGCUCUGAGCCCCUGUCUGCUGUUGAAAGUUCAAUAAAG